rnacentral:rRNA from 1 species
UUGAACGCUGGCGGCAUGCCUUACACAUGCAAGUCGAACGGCAGCACGGGUGCUUGCACCUGGUGGCGAGUGGCGAACGGGUGAGUAAUACAUCGGAACAUGUCCUGUAGUGGGGGAUAGCCCGGCGAAAGCCGGAUUAAUACCGCAUACGAUCUACGGAUGAAAGCGGGGGACCUUCGGGCCUCGCGCUAUAGGGUUGGCCGAUGGCUGAUUAGCUAGUUGGUGGGGUAAAGGCCUACCAAGGCGACGAUCAGUAGCUGGUCUGAGAGGACGACCAGCCACACUGGGACUGAGACACGGCCCAGACUCCUACGGGAGGCAGCAGUGGGGAAUUUUGGACAAUGGGCGAAAGCCUGAUCCAGCAAUGCCGCGUGUGUGAAGAAGGCCUUCGGGUUGUAAAGCACUUUUGUCCGGAAAGAAAUCCUUGGCUCUAAUACAGUCGGGGGAUGACGGUACCGGAAGAAUAAGCACCGGCUAACUACGUGCCAGCAGCCGCGGUAAUACGUAGGGUGCGAGCGUUAAUCGGAAUUACUGGGCGUAAAGCGUGCGCAGACGGUUUGCUAAGACCGAUGUGAAAUCCCCGGGCUCAACCUGGGAACUGCAUUGGUGACUGGCAGGCUAGAGUAUGGCAGAGGGGGGUAGAAUUCCACGUGUAGCAGUGAAAUGCGUAGAGAUGUGGAGGAAUACCGAUGGCGAAGGCAGCCCCCUGGGCCAAUACUGACGCUCAUGCACGAAAGCGUGGGGAGCAAACAGGAUUAGAUACCCUGGUAGUCCACGCCCUAAACGAUGUCAACUAGUUGUUGGGGAUUCAUUUCCUUAGUAACGUAGCUAACGCGUGAAGUUGACCGCCUGGGGAGUACGGUCGCAAGAUUAAAACUCAAAGGAAUUGACGGGGACCCGCACAAGCGGUGGAUGAUGUGGAUUAAUUCGAUGCAACGCGAAAAACCUUACCUACCCUUGACAUGGUCGGAAUCCCGCUGAGAGGUGGGAGUGCUCGAAAGAGAACCGGCGCACAGGUGCUGCAUGGCUGUCGUCAGCUCGUGUCGUGAGAUGUUGGGUUAAGUCCCGCAACGAGCGCAACCCUUGUCCUUAGUUGCUACGCAAGAGCACUCUAAGGAGACUGCCGGUGACAAACCGGAGGAAGGUGGGGAUGACGUCAAGUCCUCAUGGCCCUUAUGGGUAGGGCUUCACACGUCAUACAAUGGUCGGAACAGAGGGUUGCCAACCCGCGAGGGGGAGCUAAUCCCAGAAAACCGAUCGUAGUCCGGAUUGCACUCUGCAACUCGAGUGCAUGAAGCUGGAAUCGCUAGUAAUCGCGGAUCACGCAUGCCGCGGUGAAUACGUUCCCGGGUCUUGUACUCACCGCCCGU